GAUGAACGCUGGCGGCGUGCCUAAUACAUGCAAGUCGAGCGAACGGACGAGAAGCUUGCUUUUCUGAUGUUAGCGGCGGACGGGUGAGUAACACGUGGAUAACCUACCUAUAAGACUGGGAUAACUUCGGGAAACCGGAGCUAAUACCGGAUAAUAUUUUGAACCGCAUGGUUCAAAAGUGGAAGACGGUCUUGCUGUCACUUAUAGAUGGAUCCGCGCUGCAUUAGCUAGUUGGUAAGGUAACGGCUUACCAAGGCAACGAUGCAUAGCCGACCUGAGAGGGUGAUCGGCCACACUGGAACUGAGACACGGUCCAGACUCCUACGGGAGGCAGCAGUAGGGAAUCUUCCGCAAUGGGCGAAAGCCUGACGGAGCAACGCCGCGUGAGUGAUGAAGGUCUUCGGAUCGUAAAACUCUGUUAUUAGGGAAGAACAUAUGUGUAAGUAACUGUGCACAUCUUGACGGUACCUAAUCAGAAAGCCACGGCUAACUACGUGCCAGCAGCCGCGGUAAUACGUAGGUGGCAAGCGUUAUCCGGAAUUAUUGGGCGUAAAGCGCGCGUAGGCGGUUUUUUAAGUCUGAUGUGAAAGCCCACGGCUCAACCGUGGAGGGUCAUUGGAAACUGGAAAACUUGAGUGCAGAAGAGGAAAGUGGAAUUCCAUGUGUAGCGGUGAAAUGCGCAGAGAUGUGGAGGAACACCAGUGGCGAAGGCGACUUUCUGGUCUGUAACUGACGCUGAUGUGCGAAAGCGUGGGGAUCAAACAGGAUUAGAUACCCUGGUAGUCCACGCCGUAAACGAUGAGUGCUAAGUGUUAGGGGGUUUCCGCCCCUUAGUGCUGCAGCUAACGCAUUAAGCACUCCGCCUGGGGAGUACGACCGCAAGGUUGAAACUCAAAGGAAUUGACGGGGCCCGCACAAGCGGUGGAGCAUGUGGUUUAAUUCGAAGCGACGCGAAGAACCUUACCAAAUCUUGACAUCCUUUGACAACUCUAGAGAUAGAGCCUUCCCCUUCGGGGGACAAAGUGACAGGUGGUGCAUGGUUGUCGUCAGCUCGUGUCGUGAGAUGUUGGGUUAAGUCCCGCAACGAGCGCAACCCUUAAGCUUAGUUGCCAUCAUUAAGUUGGGCACUCUAAGUUGACUGCCGGUGACAAACCGGAGGAAGGUGGGGAUGACGUCAAAUCAUCAUGCCCCUUAUGAUUUGGGCUACACACGUGCUACAAUGGACAAUACAAAGGGCAGCGAAACCGCGAGGUCAAGCAAAUCCCAUAAAGUUGUUCUCAGUUCGGAUUGUAGUCUGCAACUCGACUACAUGAAGCUGGAAUCGCUAGUAAUCGUAGAUCAGCAUGCUACGGUGAAUACGUUCCCGGGUCU
rnacentral:rRNA from 1 species